rnacentral:rRNA from 1 species
GACGAACGCUGGCGGCGUGCUUAACACAUGCAAGUCGAACGGAAAGGCCCCUUUGGGGGUCCUCGAGUGGCGAACGGGUGAGUAACACGUGCGUAACCUGCCCUUGACUUCGGGAUAACUUCAGGAAACUGGGGCUAAUACCGGAUAGGAAUCCUUGCUGCAUGGUGGGGGUUGGAAAGCUUCGGCGGUUUUGGAUGGACUCGCGGCUUAUCAGCUUGUUGGUGGGGUAGUGGCUUACCAAGGCUUUGACGGGUAGCUGGCCUGAGAGGGCGACCGGCCACAUUGGGACUGAGAUACGGCCCAGACUCCUACGGGAGGCAGCAGUGGGGAAUAUUGCACAAUGGGCGGAAGCCUGAUGCAGCAACGCCGCGUGCGGGAUGACGGCCUUCGGGUUGUAAACCGCUUUCAGCAGGGGCGAAGCUUGUGGUGACGGUACCUGCAGAAGAAGCACCGGCUAACUACGUG